GACGAACGCUGGCGGCGUGCCUAAUACGUGCAAGUAGAACGCUGAAGGAGGAGCUUGCUUCUCUGGAUGAGUUGCGAACGGGUGAGUAACGCGUAGGUAACCUGCCUGGUAGCGGGGGAUAACUAUUGGAAACGAUAGCUAAUACCGCAUAACAGUAGAUAUCGCAUGAUAUCUACUUGAAAGGUGCAAUUGCAUCACUACCAGAUGGACCUGCGUUGUAUUAGCUAGUUGGUGAGGUAACGGCUCACCAAGGCGACGAUACAUAGCCGACCUGAGAGGGUGAUCGGCCACACUGGGACUGAGACACGGCCCAGACUCCUACGGGAGGCAGCAGUAGGGAAUCUUCGGCAAUGGACGGAAGUCUGACCGAGCAACGCCGCGUGAGUGAAGAAGGUUUUUGGAUCGUAAAGCUCUGUUGUAAGAGAAGAACGAGUGUGAGAGUGGAAAGUUCACACUGUGACGGUAUCUUACCAGAAAGGGACGGCUAACUACGUG
rnacentral:rRNA from 1 species